ACUGUGCAGAGGAAAAAUAGGAAAACCACGCGGGUUCCAAACCGGAAAGAAACCGCAACACCACCUAGCGGCUACAAAGAAAUUGUCAGAUUUCCCUAUCUAGUUCAAAAAUUCAUUUAAAAAAAAAAUUUAAUCAAUACGCUUUUGAAAAAUGCAGUUAAUGUUUUUUGUUUUGAAAAUAAUCAAUAUAAAAAGGAACAGUGUAAUUUCCAAAUUUAUUCUGAAAAUGAUUUUGAAAUUGAUUUUUCAAUGCCGGCCAUCUUUUUUUUUUCGACUUUUCGAUUUAAGGCUGAAACAAACUUUUAAUCCCACUUUUAGGGAGCACUUUUAAAAAGUUGAUGCAUGUAUGAACACAUGAGUGCAAGUGUGUGCAUAAUGGAACAAGAAGAAGAAGAUAAAACAAAUGGAAUUAUCGUAGAGGUGGACGACCCCAACGUCUACAAAUGACGUCACGGCAUCGAUCCAGAACUCCGAGACAUUUCGUCGGCGGCUGACUUUCCAUACAGAAAUAUAAAAAAAAAAUUCACGGAAUUGACAGGACAACGAUGUCUAGUGAUCGGUCCAAGUUUUUCUUAGGCGUGAUUCAUUCGCUGUAUAUAUGCGUUCGAGCCACACGAUUCGGCAAUGAAGAAAAAAGAGAAAAGACGAACAGAAAGAAAAGGAACGAAAAACUGAAAAUGGCGCACGGCCAUGACUAUACAGCAUAGUAGUAGUAUAGUAUCCUCGACGACGAGAGCUGCACGGCAAAAGGGUUGAACGUCCUGCUAACCCACUUUCUCCUCUUGUGCACAGACAUGUUGGAUCCACUCAGCUGUUUUUUGCCCGCUGUGUAUCUGUUUUAUAAUAAUAAUGGCGAAAUGUUUGAGUGAAAAAGACAAACAGCUUCAAAGGAAAAACGGGUGAAGGUAUUUGAUGAAUGUGUGUGUGUGGUGCAGAGUUGAUUGUGUAUCAAAACGAGCGAACCAAAAAAUCAUGGCCGCCGACCUCCAUUGCUUUUAUUUUGUAUGCUGCCUUUUUUUUUUGUGUGUGUCGAUCCCAUAAUUCCGGUUUGUCCAGUUUUCUUUCGUUUUGCUUUAUUUUUAUGGUCAUCAACGGGACCUUCUCGACAGAUAAGAAUUCAGAGAAAUAUUACGUUUUCUAGGACACAAUGGACGUGAUUGUCAGUUUUCUUGACCACGAGGUUCGACACUUGGUUUGCAAAUCAAAUUGCAUUUUAUUUUUCAUUUGUUUGCAACAACACCAUAAAUGACGAUGGACUGUGAAAUCCUUUUAAUGAACUUUGUUCGUCUAGGUUAAUGGAACAAAGUUCGCCAUUCCAAAUCGACAUUUCCAGUUUGGUGCUCCAAAUGGUACGCUUAUUCAUCCAACAUUGGCCGGUUUUUUUGUUUUUUUUUCAGACUUUGAAGAUUCGGGUUUCUCUCUGAACCCCACGCUC